rnacentral:rRNA from 1 species
UCACGUUUGAUCCUAGCGAACCAUUUAGCUACCCCAUAGUGUAAAUUAUAUAAAAGUUUCCGCAAACCAGUAGAUACCCGCUCUUUCUUGCCUACUUCCUAAAAGGAAGUAUUUCCUGAUCGAACAUACAGCCUUAGACAACAUCAAUAAUGCUUAAUCAACUUUACAAUUAAUAUAGAAUUCUGACAAAAUUUACGCCAGUAAAACACGGGUAUUGGUAACCAGGGCCGGGCAAAUGGGUGCCAGCAGCCGCGGUUAAACCCUAGGCCCAAGUUAAAUCACUCGGUAAAAAGAUGGCCAAUUAAUAGAUAGAUAAAAAUUUAAGCUAACGAAGUUAAAUUCGAAGCCCAGAAUGAGCCAAAAUUAUCACCACCACCAGCCAUGAAAACUUAAACCAAAACUGGGAUUUGGUACCCCACUAUUCUAAGUCGUAAAUCCAAUUUCAUACCAGGGUACUACAAACCAUCUUGUUUGAAACCUAAAGGACUUGGCGGCGCUUCAUAUUAGUUCAGGGGAGCCUGUGUCAUAAACCGAUGAUCCGCGUUAAACCAUACUUAAUCCUUUGCACUCUCAGCUUGUUUACUUCCGUCGUCAGCUUACCUUUCAAGAGUCCAAAAUUACCACCCCGCAUAAAGGGCGGCUUGACUACCCUCUACGACAGGUCGCUGUACAGCCAACUAGGAGAGAGAUUAUGGGCUACAAUCACCAUUUCUGCACCGAAUUAUUGCUGAAAUACCAAUAUGAAGAUGAACUUGAUAGUAAGACUAGUUUAUAAUACUAGCCUGAAUAUUACUGUGUUUCGUGUACAAAUCGCCCGUCGCUCCCGCCGAGAGGUGGGAUAAGUCGUAACAUAGUUGGUGUAGGGGAAUCUGCACCUAAAGUACC